AAACAUUAUUUGUAAUCACAUUUAGAUGAGUCAGUAUUUUAUAGCAAUUUCUAGACUGUAACCAGUUCAUAAAGCUUUUUUUCUUAACUCAUGCUGCAUAAGCAUCAGUUAAAACACUUGAGAUAAGCCCAAGAAAUAUGAAUCGGAGACUUCAAUAUAAAGCAGAAACCUCAAACUGUAUUACUGCAAUUGAAAAGCUGAAAGAUCAAUCAACAAAGGAAUCCAGGUGGAUCCAGACUGUGACGAGACAUCUAGUAAAAUUCCUCAUCAUUAUAUAUAUAUAGAUAUGGCUUGGGUCUCUCCUUUAGUAUUGUGGUGAGUCAGUGCAUGUCUGCUGGGCAGAUGUCAUUGUCUGUCCUCUGUGCUGUGAAAAGGAGACAAAGGCAGAUUUGAGGGAUAGUUUGUCCUCUCCAGAUACUGCAGUCUCCAUUGUCAUCCAGACACCAAUGGGGAAGCAAAGUACCAAACCGGUUCUGCAGGAUCUUUGUGCUGCGCUGGAGACAUGCCCACGUGGGCUGACUAAUAACCUGCCCUUUGCUUACUGAUUGAUUUAUCGUAGAGAUGUGUGGUGCAUAUUUUCUAA